rnacentral:rRNA from 1 species
ACGGAAGGCAGCAGUGAGGAAUAUUGGUCAAUGGGCGGAAGCCUGAACUAGCCAUCUCGCGUGCAGGACUACGGCCCUACGGGUCUUAAACUUCUUUUAUAGGGGGAUAAAGUGAGGCAUGCAUGCCUUUUUGUAGGUACCCUAUGAAUAAGCAUCGGCUAACUCCGUGCCAGCAGCCGCGGUAAUACGGAGGAUGCGAGCGUUAUCCGGAUUUAUUGGGUUUAAAGGGUGCGCAGGCGGCACGUUAAGUCAGCGGUGAAAUGUCGGGGCUCAACCCGGGCACUGCCGUUGAAACUGGCGAGCUUGAGUACGGAUGAAGUCGGCGGAAUGUGAUGUGUAGCGGUGAAAUGCUUAGAUAUGUCACAGAACACCGAUUGCGAAGGCAGCUGACUAAUCCGCAACUGACGCUCAGGCACGAAAGCGUGGGGAUCGAACAGGAUUAGAUACCCUGGUA